rnacentral:rRNA from 1 species
UACGUAGGGUGCAAGCGUUAAUCGGAAUUACUGGGCGUAAAGCGUGCGCAGGCGGUUGUGCAAGACAGAUGUGAAAUCCCCGGGCUCAACCUGGGAAUUGCAUUUGUGACUGCACGGCUAGAGUGUGUCAGAGGGGGGUAGAAUUCCACGUGUAGCAGUGAAAUGCGUAGAGAUGUGGAGGAAUACCGAUGGCGAAGGCCAGCCCCCUGGGAUAACACUGACGCUCAUGGCACGAAAGCCGUGGGGAGCAAACAGGA